rnacentral:rRNA from 1 species
ACUCAAAGGAAUUGACGGGGACCCGCACAAGCGGUGGAUGAUGUGGAUUAAUUCGAUGCAACGCGAAAAACCUUACCUACGCUUGACAUGUCUGGAAUCCUGUAGAGAUGCGGGAGUGCUCGAAAGAGAGCCAGAACACAGGUGCUGCAUGGCUGUCGUCAGCUCGUGUCGUGAGAUGUUGGGUUAAGUCCCGCAACGAGCGCAACCCUUAUCAUUAGUUGCUACGAAAGGGCACUCUAAUGAGACUGCCGGUGACAAACCGGAGGAAGGUGGGGAUGACGUCAAGUCCUCAUGGCCCUUAUGCGUAGGGCUUCACACGUCAUACAAUGGUCGGUACAGAGGGUCGCCAACCCGCGAGGGGGAGCCAAUCCCUUAAAACCGAUCGUAGUCCGGAUUGCAGUCUGCAACUCGACUGCAUGAAGUCGGAAUCGCUAGUAAUCGCGGAUCAGAAUGUCGCGGUGAAUACGUUCCCGGGUCUUGUACACACCGCCCGU